rnacentral:rRNA from 1 species
AUUGAACGCUGGCGGCAUGCCUUACACAUGCAAGUCGAACGGCAGCACGGGUGCUUGCACCUGGUGGCGAGUGGCGAACGGGUGAGUAAUACAUCGGAACGUACCUUAUCGUGGGGGAUAACGCAGCGAAAGCUGUGCUAAUACCGCAUACGCCCUGAGGGGGAAAGCGGGGGAUCGAAAGACCUCGCGCGAUUAGAGCGGCCGAUGCCUGAUUAGCUUGUUGGUGGGGUAAAAGCCCACCAAGGCGACGAUCAGUAGCCGGUCUGAGAGGACGAUCAGGCAAACUGGGACUAGGACACGGCCCAGACUCCUACGGGAGGCAGGAGUGGGGAAUUUUGGACAAUGGGGGCAACCCUGAUCCAGCAAUGCCGCGUGAGUGAAGAAGGCCUUCGGGUUGUAAAGCUCUUUUGUCAGGGAAGAAACACCGGCUCUAACACAGUCCGGGAAUGACGGUACCUGAAGAAUAAGCACCGGCUAACUACGUGCCAGCCGCCGCAGUAA